ensembl:lncRNA
CCAAGAGUGACUCACCCAGUGAAGACCAGAGUACUUAUUGUUCCAAGUGUCAAAAUCUGCAGAACUGCCUCCAGGAUUUGGGUCUCAUCCAGCUUCAAUGAACGAAACAUUCCAGCAUCUUCCUCCAGUACCUGUGAAUGCUGCAUUGUCUUCUCCCUGUGGCUUUUGUUUUUGAAAGCUCAUAAAGAGGAACCCAGGAAGUCAGGAGACAGCAGGGUGACCAUUUCCGUCCCCAGAACAGCCUUCAGCCAGUUUCUACAUGCCUCUUGCCAGGGACCAAACUGGCACCUAGGCUGCCCCGGAGGACGCAGAAAACCAGGACCCGGCUGGGGGCUGAAAUGUACUCCAUUGAAGAAUCCUCUGGCCUCCUCAGCACUGGAAGGACCAGCCAGCGGCAGUGAGAGUUUAUCAUUUGGAGGGAGCAUCUGCAUCCUCAGUAGUACUGGAGAGUCACAUCCAGGCUCAGUCCCAGAGCCCGAGUCCUGAUUGGUCCAAGAUGUUGAUGCCCCUAGCCAGAGAUUGGGCUGCUCGUGAUCACGUGGCAAAAUCUGGCCAAUGGCAGGCUCUAGCUUCCAGCUGAUGCCUCCCAUUGGCUGGAUCUAGCCGGAUACUAGAGGGCUGGGAGCUCAAGAGAAUGGAGCCCACAUGGGUCAGCCUAUGUAGGCAGAAUGGAAAAGGGGUGAAGAGUAG